rnacentral:rRNA from 1 species
UUCGGGGACAUUGGUGACAGGUGGUGCAUGGUUGUCGUCAGCUCGUGUCGUGAGAUGUUGGGUUAAGUCCCGCAACGAGCGCAACCCUUGUCUUUAGUUGCCAUCAUUAAGUUGGGCACUCUAGAGAGACUGCCAGGGAUAACCUGGAGGAAGGUGGGGAUGACGUCAAAUCAUCAUGCCCCUUAUGCUUAGGGCUACACACGUGCUACAAUGGGUAGUACAGAGGGUUGCCAAGCCGUAAGGUGGAGCUAAUCCCUUAAAGCUACUCUCAGUUCGGAUUGUAGGCUGAAACUCGCCUACAUGAAGCUGGAGUUACUAGUAAUCGCAGAUCAGAAUGCUGCGGUGAAUGCGUUCCCGGGUCUUGUACACACCGCCCGUCACACCACGGGAGUUGGAGACGCCCGAAGCCGAUUAUCUAACCUUUUGGAAGAAGUCGUCGAAGGUGGAAUCAAUAACUGGGGUGAAGUCGUAACAAGGUAGCCGUAUCGGAAGGUGCGGCUGGAUC